GGGGCGCCAGAGAGGGUGAG
rnacentral:snRNA from 1 species